UCCGGAACAAUUUAAAAGGCGGAAUGUUUAUAGAUUUACACCGUUGUCUUGAUGUCAAUGAAUAAUCAUGUGUUUAGGUCUGAGUUGAUUAAAAUCAACUUUUGUGAAACAACUAAAUGUUGCCGCAUCUGUAUAAUGGGAAGAAUAUGAUAUGCAUAUUUCGGAGAGCCUUCUGGCCUACUGCGCGGAAUUAUGCUUUAUUGCGACAUUUACAGACAGUUCCAUUGAAAACAGGGAAUUAUUUUGAUAACAAUGUUCUGCCUUUCUCUGCUUUUCUCACUGAUAACUAUGGCAGACAACACACAUAUCUACGGAUAUCUUUAACUGAAAGAUGUAAUUUUCGAUGUCAAUACUGCAUGCCUGAAUCUGGUGUGGAGCUGACCCCGAAUAAAAAUCUUUUAACGACUGCAGAACUGAUCCAAAUCACUUCCCUGUUUGUUAAUCAGGGCAUUAAAAAAGUUCGUUUAACUGGAGGAGAGCCAUUGAUUAGAAAAGAUUUAAUUAAAAUUGUUGAAGAACUUCAUCUCCUGAAACAAUAUGGUUUGGAAUUUAUUACUAUGACAACCAAUGGUGUGAUUCUUCAUCGAGUUGUGGAGAAGUUAAAAGAAGCUGGCUUAGAUUCCCUGAAUGUCAGUCUUGAUAGUUUAAUGCCACAUAAGUUUGCUUUCAUUACCAGAAGGAAUUGUUUAGAUAAAGUCUUAAAGAAUAUAGAGGGUGCUUUGGCAGCAGGAUUUUCUCCGUUAAAGAUCAAUUGUGUUGUUAUGAAGGACCUCAAUGAUGAUGAAAUCUGUAAUUUUGUGCAGUUAACAGAGAAAAUGAAUUUAGACGUACGAUUUAUAGAGUACAUGCCUUUUCAAGACAACAAAUGGAAUUUGAAGAAAAUGGUUCCUUACAAAGACAUGUUGGAAAUUAUUAAAAGAAAAUGGCCAAACAUAUCAAAAAUUAAAGAUAAACCUAAUGAUACAUCAAAGGCCUUCAAAAUUCCUGGAUUUGAAGGUCAAAUAGGUUUUAUUACUUCCAUGUCUAACCAUUUCUGUGGCUCCUGUAAUCGUUUAAGACUUACGGCCAAUGGAAACCUCAAGAAAUAUCUUUGAAAGACAUGAUUCGAAAAAAUGUUUCUGAGGAAGAAAUCCUAAAGCAUAUAGAAUUUGCUGUGAAACGGAAGCAUAAACAACAUGCUGGUGUUCAUAAUAUAAAGAAUAUGAAAAACCGUCCUAUGGUUCUAAUUGGUGGUUGAGUGAUAUUGAAUUAAUAUUAAAG
rnacentral:misc_RNA from 1 species